rnacentral:sRNA from 1 species
AAGGUUCGAUUCGAGCGAAAGCGAGAAAGCGUUGCCAACGGCAACGACCCGAAGGGCGAAGCGCGCAGCGCUGAGUAAUCCUUCCCCCGUCAUCC